ensembl:snRNA U6 U6 spliceosomal RNA
GUGCUCACUUCAGCACAUAUAUACUAAAAUUAGAAUAAUUCAUAGAUUAUCAUUGCCCCUGUGCAAGAAUUCGUGAAGUAUUCCAUAUUUAA